rnacentral:lncRNA from 1 species
GCCUCAAACACCUUUACAGCCGCAAACACCACCACCACCACCGCAGCAGCAACCUUGAAUAGAAGUGCCACCAAAGUGCACCCAGCAACCAAAAUCCUCCCCAAACCCAACCACCCCUUUCGCCAUCGAAUUCAAAGACAAAGACGUCACUCCCACAACAACUAUCUCCUUUUGCCUUACUAAACCUAAAUUUGUCUACGUUCCCAACUAUUCUCGUAAGUCCCCUUCUAAUUUUCAACUUAUAUUUUUGUAUUUUAGGGAGGAAUUGAUAUAAAUAAUUCAUGUAAUUGAUUAAUUGAUAUUUGGUGUUGCUCUUUUAGGUUGGUUUUCGUGAAAUAGCAUUCAUGAAUGUGAGGUUUGCUUUUUUCCUGAAUUCUUUGAUGGAAGGUCACCUUGUAAGAAUCCUAAGACAUACAAAUACUAUAGUAAUACCAUUAUUCGUAGAUUCAGCGAUAACCCCACUAAAAAAUUACCUUUACUAAGGUUCGCAAGACCAUUGUUGGAGACGUGGGUUCAUUUCGUGAAGUUUUUGAUUUCUUAGAGACAUGGGGUUUGAUUUUUAGCAUUUUUAUUAAUUUGAAGUUGGAUUAUUGAAAUUACACACCACAUGUUUGUUGAAUGUAAGUAUAGUAUUGCAAAAAUCUACAUCAUCUAUUUCAAUUUGUUUGUUCGGUGUUGACUUUUCACAUAGUUUAAGAAAGUCAUGUUAUGAAUUAUUAGUGCCAUCUCUUUCUUUUCUUCCUCGGUUCUGUGUUUUCGGAAAUUAAUGGUAUAGUGAUGCUGUUAAAUUAACCAAGGGACUAGAAUACCUCUAUGAGAGCUGUAAUCCCCUAUAAUCCAUAGAGAUCUCAAAUCAUCUAAUAUUCUACUAGAUUCUGACUUCAGUGCAAAGGUAAAUUAGCAAUAUAACAACAUAGCUCUCACUCAUUUGCUUUUCCUUUGUAAGCAUUUCAUAUGGUUUAUCUUGUCUGAGUUGGUUAACUUUUACUUUGAUUAACUUUCUGAUUUUGGCCUUGGUAUUGCGGGAUGGAAUUGAACAAGAGAAAUGUAAAGUAAGAGCAACUAUUAUUUGAGUGACUAAACGAGAAAUCUACCCAUAUUAAAAUUGUUUAGUUGACGCGAAAAUAGUAAAUGCAUAGAGUAUUGAUAAUUAUAGUAUUUCAUCUGUAUUCUGCCUUUUACCAGGUUUGUCAUUGCUAUUUUAGUGACCGUAGUGUAAUGGAGAGAGAGAUAAAAGAUGGAAUAUGUUGAAUGAAGAAUAUUAAUAGUAGUCUAUUUUUGAGGUUCUGAUCGAUCAGUACUAAUUAAUUAGUACGUAUAUAUAUAUGAUCAUUCUUGAUUAUCACAACUAUGCAUUUGUUAUAAUUAAAAGGUUAAUGGAUGCAAAAGAUUGGUGAUUAAUUUAGAGUUGGGAGGGAUUAAAAUCAUAUGAAAAUAUGUAGUACACUACAGAAGGAUUGCACUAUUUAAUUUGUACCCAUUAUUAAGGACUUUCUACACCUUUUGAUGUCUUUUUGUGUCAUGCAUGAUGACUUGAUAAGUCCCAAACUACAUUGUGACAACACCCUUUCAUUUAGUUGGUAAGACAAGUCGAUAAGUUUUGAUCCGAGAUCCCUUUUAUUGAAAAAAAUAGUUAUAUUUGAGAAAAAUUUGUUUGUUACUUGCCUAGUUUCUUCUGUCCAUUAUCAAGAAAUUAACUUUUCACAAUACCACCUAAAUAACUAUGAUCAUGGAGUUAAUAAGUUGGGUAGAAAGAGCCUGAGGUGCGGCCAGUGUCAUCAUACAUACAUCUUGCUACCUUUGGAGAUAUACUUAUGGACAUGAGGACAUUUAUUUAAUCUUGCUCAUUGUGAAUGCUAACUUUUGAAUUCUCAGUAAUUAUCUAUUUUGAAAUGAUAAGGGUUAUGUUAUUAGGAGCGUCAUCUUGGUGAUGUGAACAAGCAGCUGAAGAUUAAGGUUUCUCUUGAACUAUCAUCGUACACAUUCUACUUGAAGAACGUACAUUACUUUGUUGCUCAGACUCUUCUAAAGUUCCCUCAAAUGCAUGUCUAGUAGCUGAUAUAUAUGAGUGCAAUGACAUUAUAUAGUUGAAGAAUCCAAGUG